ensembl:rRNA 5S_rRNA 5S ribosomal RNA
GCCGGCAGUUAGCUCUCUGCGACUCUCACAUGGUCGCCUACUGAAGCUAAACAGGGCUGCACUCGGUCAGUACCUGGAUGGGAGACCACAUGUGAAAGCUAGGUUGUUGUCAGAA